rnacentral:rRNA from 1 species
AGACAACUUACCCUUGGGACCGGGAUAACCCUUGGGAAACUAGGGCUAAUACCGGAUAGUGCAUCGAUUGCUGGAAUGCACGAUGUAUGAAAGCUGAGGCGCCCAAGGAUAGGUCUGUGGCCGAUUAGGUUGUUGUUGAUGUAACGGAUCAACAAGCCUACGAUCGGUACGGGUUGUGAGAGCAAUAGCCCGGAGAUGGGUUCUGAGAGAAGAACCCAGGUCCUACGGGACGCAUCAGGCGCGAAAACUUUACAAUGUGCGAAAGCACGAUAAGGGAACUCUGAGUGCCUCCUAAGGAGGCUGUUCAGAUGUUUAAAAAGCAUCUGGAGGAAGGGCUGGGCAAGACCGGUGCCAGCCGCCGCGGCAACACCGGCAGCCCAAGUGGUGGUCACGCUUACUGGGUCUAAAGCGUCCGUAGCCGGCUAGGUAAGUUCCUUGGGAAAUUUAAUCGCUUAACGAUUAAGCUACCUGGGAAUACUAUCUGGCUUGGGACCGGGAGAGGUCAGAGGUACCUCAAGGGUAGGGGUGAAAUCCGUUAAUCCUUGGGGGACCACCGGUAGCGAAGGCGUCUGACCAGACCGGAUCCGACGGUGAGGGACGAAGGCUAGGGGAGCGAAGCGGAUUAGAUACCCGCGUAGUCCUAGCUGUAAACGAUGCGGGCUAGGUGUUGGUAUUACUGCGAGUGAUGCCAGUGCCGAAGGGAAGCCGUUAAGCCCGCCAUCUGGGGAGUCCG